rnacentral:rRNA from 1 species
GACGAACGCUGGCGGCGUGCCUAAUACAUGCAAGUUGAGCGAUGAAGAUUGGUGCUUGCCCCAAUUUGAAGAGCAGCGAACGGGUGAGUAACGCGUGGGGAAUCUGCCUUUGAGCGGGGGACAACAUUUGGAAACGAAUGCUAAUACCGCAUAAUAACUUUAAACAUAAGUUUUAAGUUUGAAAGAUGCAAUUGCAUCACUCAAAGAUGAUCCCGCGUUGUAUUAGCUAGUUGGUGAGGUAAAGGCUCACCAAGGCGAUGAUACAUAGCCGACCUGAGAGGGUGAUCGGCCACAUUGGGACUGAGACACGGCCCAAACUCCUACGGGAGGCAGCAGUAGGGAAUCUUCGGCAAGAGACGAAAGUCUGACCGAGCAACGCCGCGUGAGUGAAGAAGGUUGUCGGAUCGUAAAACUCUGUUGGUAGAGAAGAACGUUGGUGAGAGUGGAAAGCUCAUCAAGUGACGGUAACUACCCAGAAAGGGACGGCUAACUACGUG